rnacentral:tRNA from 1 species
AAAAAGAUAAGCUAAUAAAGCUAUUAGGUUCAUACCCUGAUUAUAAGAGUUUUAAUCUCUUUCUUUUUA